AUGGGGGAGGGGGGUAGGCGGUUGGGCCGGGAGGGGGCGUGCGGUUGGGAGGGUGGCGCGGGCCCGGGCGGGAGAGGAGGGAGGGAGAGGGAGGGAGCAAAAAGGGAAGGAGGAGAAAGGGGGGGAGGGAAAGCGGGAGUGGUUGAAGCCGGCGGCGGCGGCGGCCGAGCUGGGUCAGUUCUCUUUAGUGUUUGCCAAUGUUGGAGGUGUCUCCAAACUAUCUCCGGGAAGAAGAUACAGUUGGCCACCAUUGACUUUGCCGGGGCAAUAAAAGAGUUGAGUAAGCUGACGAAGACCUGUUUCAGAAUGAGCAGUUUUAGAGAAGGGAGUUAGUAUGUCAUCUCCGAAAAGGAAGGUUGGAGCUGCACCGAGUUACAGAAUGAACUGGUGGCAAGUCGAGAAACUUGAGUGAGGAAGGAGCAAAGAAUGACUUCCAGUUGGGGUAGGGGGGUUAAGGGAUUUUAGUAAUAUGAGUGGUCCCUCCUCAUAUUACAGAGCUCUUUGGAUCCAGUAGAAGAUAGAGAUGGAUCUUAUUACCUUCUUCAGUCAUGGUUGAAAACUUCAUUAUUCAUUAAUUGUGUUCAAAAUUGUAGUAAACUCUUAUUGAGUGAUUUUGCUGAUUCCUCAUAAGUUUCAAGAUAGGAUGUAUGCCUAAUAUGUAUUUGUGGUGGGAGGAGUAAUAUUAAUCUACUAGGGAAAAAUAUUCCAUUACAUUUUUAGAUUUUUAUACUCUUCAAAUAAAGAACUAUGAAUCCUAAGUUUCA
rnacentral:lncRNA from 1 species